UUGGCUCCACAUAUUUCGCCGGUACACGCCGUUGGCCGUACCCUGCUGCCCGCAAAAACCAGGUUGGAGUGAGCCGCCAAUUUAAAACCCCUCAAAUGGGGCAGCGCAGCGCAGCGCACGCCCGACCUUUUGUCUCAUGGAAACCUGCCACCCAUUGCCUCCUCUUUAGGUCGACAUGUCAACAGAAUUGAAGUCGAAAAAGUGGUCUGAAAAUGUGAAGACCGUUUGACCAAUGGUCAAGGAAUUGAAUUCAAAGACAUGCUGCAGCAGAGUCAGGAGUUGGGGAAGACCCAACAACAUGCGCAUUAUAAGAUAUACAGAAGCAAAAGUAUUGAAGCAGAGGCCCGACAACAAGGACGGAGACAGCCGUCUACUUGUGAGCCAGUUUUCCAUGUCUCUCAUAUUAAUGGUCAAAAUUUUGAAUCACGUUUUUUUUGGGUGAAUAAUUUUGAAUCAUGUUAAGAUGAUCAUAUUCUUAUAUAUUACAUUCAGCAUUAUAUUGACUUACAAAUCUGAUCAAUUACGAUAAUUUAUAUUGUUAAUGUACACUGAACCUAACCCACUAACCUAACCCACUACAUCCACCCCACUAAACCUAACACACUUACCAUCUCCACUACCACCCACCACCUCCACUACCAUCCACUACCACCACUCACUUACCUCACACCUCUCCUAUAUAAUAGCUUGUAACAUACAAAUCAGAUAUAUCAAUCUUGUAAUAUACACAAUCAAUAAAUAAUACAUCA